rnacentral:rRNA from 1 species
CCCUUAGAUGUUCUGGGCUGCACGCGUGUUACAAUCGGGAGUACAACAAGAUUGCAAAUCCUAGUGGAUGAGUGGUUCUUCGAAAUUUUCUGAAGACUGGGAUAGUUGAUUGAAAUUAUUCAACUCGAACGAGGAAUUCCUUGUAAUUGUAAUUCAUUAUAUUGUAAUGAAUACGUCCCUGCCCUUUGUACACACCGCCCGUUGCUCCUACCGAUUGAACGAUCCGGUGAAUUAUUUGGAGUAGCUCUGGAAGUUGCAGAACUUCCUAUGUCACGAAAUUUUGUAAACCUUAUCGUUUAGAGGAAGGAAAAGUCGUAACA